CCUACGGGUGGCAGCAGUGGGGAAUAUUGGACAAUGGGGGCUACCCUGAUCCAGCCAUGCCGCGUGUGUGAAGAAGGCCCUCGGGUUGUAAAGCACUUUCAGUGAGGAAGAACGCCUGGUGGUUAAUACCCAUCAGGAAAGACAUCACUCACAGAAGAAGCACCGGCUAACUCCGUGCCAGCAGCCGCGGUAAUACGGAGGGUGCGAGCGUUAAUCGGAAUUACUGGGCGUAAAGCGCGCGUAGGUGGCUUGAUAAGCCGGUUGUGAAAGCCCCGGGCUCAACCUGGGAACGGCAUCCGGAACUGUCAAGCUAGAGUGCAGGAGAGGAAGGUAGAAUUCCCGGUGUAGCGGUGAAAUGCGUAGAGAUCGGGAGGAAUACCAGUGGCGAAGGCGGCCUUCUGGACUGACACUGACACUGAGGUGCGAAAGCGUGGGUAGCAAACAGGAUUAGAUACCCGUGUAGUC
rnacentral:rRNA from 1 species